UCUUCUAUAUUUAAAAUUAUAUAAUUAUAUAUAAUUUUAAUUAUUUGCUAUAUUAUAUAAUUGAAAUUAUAUUUUUAUAUCUAUAUUUAAUUAUAUCUUUUAUAUAUUAAUUUUAUCUCUCUUUUAACUCCAUAAAAUAUUUAGGGGCAAAAUUAUCAUUCUACUUAAAUUUUAUCAAUCCAAUACAUUAUUUUAACAUAAACAUCCAGACACUAUCAAGAAUAUUCUCCGGGGAACAAACAAGUAAUAUCCAAAUGCAAAUUUAUCAUUGUUCUAGCUUAUACCGAAACACAGCUUUUGGAUCAUGAGCGGUCUAUAUACUAAGGCUUAGUUUGGUAUUGAGAUGAAUCUAACGUUAUUAAAUAGAAUGGAGUUAAGAAAAAGCAUAUAAGGAUAUGCUUCUGCGUUCUCCGAUGGGACCGUAGAAAAUAUAUUGUAACUGACUAACCGCGGAACGCAAUAUUACGUACGGAAACAAACAUGAUAUUUUCCCAUCGUCGUUUCUCACCGCACUUAACGCAAUCUCCCUGCAAUCCCAAACAAAACCUAAGAUAACCAAAAGUAACUUAAGGAUACUCUCUCUCUCUCUCUCUCUUAUUUGAUACAUAGCUACCUACUACCCAAUAAUUUCUCUCUCUCUCUCUCUCUCUCUCUCUCUCUCUCUCCUCUCUCUCUCUCUCAAACUAGUCCUCGCACUAAUAAAAAAUUAACUAACCAUUUUCUCUCUUUAUCUCUCUAUAUAUUUGUAACCUAUAACCCCCUACC
rnacentral:lncRNA from 1 species